rnacentral:misc_RNA from 1 species
UCGGUUUUGUAUUUCAUCAAAUAAUUUUAUGAGUCAUACGUAGUUAAACUUGCAUAUCACCGUUGACUGGAAAUUAUGUCUCGUGAUCAUUAUUUAUUUUAAAUGGAUGGCACUGUAUGGAUAUCUAUGAACUGAUUGUUGAAACUUCAACAGGAAAAUGAAUACCUAUAUAACAAGAAAUAUUUUCAAUGAACUGCAAGACAGCAUUCAGAGAUUUUGUAGAUUUCCUCAAAGAGAUUAUUGCGCUAAAUUCUGUGCCGCAUCUGGGACAGCCGUUCUUUUACCGACUGCCUUUUGGCUCCAGUUUACAGCUUUAGUGCUCGAUCAGUGGGCUAUCGAUGACAGGCCACAGGCAUUUUCUUCGUACACACACAACAGCACAUUAAUUGACCAAUCAUUUGGGUGUGUCAGUCAAGAAGGAGCAACGUAGAGUGACAUUGGCGGGAUGGUUAGGCGGAGGAAUGGACUGAAAAAGUGAAUACUGGGAUAUAGAAAGUGGAUGUUUAUGUGCCCUUGAGAUAUCUUCUGUUGUACUGAUGGGUUUGCUAAUGAUUGCUGGCUUUGGAGUCUGCUGUAGAACUUGCUGUCGCGGUAUAACUGUCGAGUCUUGUAAAGUUUGCUAUAUGUGUAUCCUAUCUCUGAUGAGUCUUAUACCAGGCAUUUUAAACUUGUGCUGUUCUUUUGUUACUGUCAAAGUCGUCUCCGAACACAAAGAAGGACAGUUUACGUUCGGAUUUUCUUUUUAUACGUACACAGUUAUUGGAGGUGCCACAUUAGUGAUUUCGCUUGCCUCUGUAUGUGGAUACAUAUGUGUAAAGACGUUUGAGCUAAGGGAAGAUUAUGAGACUCAGAUAGGCAGUGACGACGGCGAUCGUGAAGGAGCCUCUCUUCUGAGUACUAAUUAGGUGUAGGAAUAUACAGUAGACAUGCAACGCCAACUCUCAGCAGGGAUUACCUCCCCUAGCGCAACAUUAACUAUAGUGAGGGAGAUAACUGCAUAGGAGACUGCCAAAAGAAUGAAUAAUGGCUUAAAAGGUAUAAAGCAAAAUCAUGUGUUUAAAAUGCUACAAACAUAUCAUGCAUAAACAGCACUGUUUGAUAAACAAUUAUAUGUUAAUAUGUACAAAAUUGAUGUAUUAACACAAUCGUACUCUCAAUUAGACUGUGUAGUGACUAACUGUUUUGAAUUGUUUCGUAAAUUCGAUUCUAACACAACCUGAUUCAUUUUCCCAUAAAACAAAAGCUGAAAAUUGUUUGUUAUUAUACAAACAAUGACGUCACGAUUAUUACAUCAUAGAGUCAAAUGGUAUAACGGUGCACUGGAAAAGAAACAACAGAAAACAGGCAAAUAUUUGAUGGAUAUCGUCAAAGAUGUUCUCAAAAUCCUUUGUAACGUGUUAGAAUCGAGAUGAUAUAUCUCAUUUUGCAUUUUUAUCUCGAAUAAAAUCAUUGUUUGGAGUUCAGAUGCGUAUAAUUAUAUUAAUCUCGUGAUAUGAUAUAGAUCUAUUCGCAUCUGAACUCCAGUGGUUUCAUUCAAUGACAAAUCACAAAAUGAGAUGUAUUUUUUCUUAAUUGAAAUAAAUGCAAUGAAUGAUGUUUUGUAUUUCACAAGUUACACCCCUACAUCAAUCAAGGGAUGCUAGACCAAGCUAAUGUUUCUGUUAUUGCCUAUUUCGUUGAAAAUUCGGAUGUCCCUCAUGUCGUGAAAUUCAGUGUUUCGUAACCUGAGUUUGUUACAGCAUUAAAUUGUAACGGCUUAUUGUGAGAGAUUUGUAUGAUUACAACCCUCUUAUUUGAAGCAAACUCUUGCAAAUCUGAAUACGUUCAGUUCGGUGUAGGUUUGGGGAUGGGGGAGGGGGCUACUUGGGGAAAUAUCCAGCUAAUAGUAGUAACUGACAUUCUAAAUGGAAUGGUAAAAUCGUCUCUUUGUUUUAAAUAGGGACAUAUAAAUGUAACAUAAGUGCUGAUGUAUGAACAAUCAGGCCGCUUAAGCUAUGAAAUAAACAUAGAAACUAUACUGUUUUAUUUAUAAUUAUUUCGUGAAAGAACACUCCAGAUCAGUUUAAAA